rnacentral:lncRNA from 1 species
GUGGCUGUGUGCACAUAUAGGUGUGUGCACGUGGACACAUCUGCUCCCACCAGCUGACUCCUGGUGGGCACUAGAAUCAGGGAUACCCCAGUGGCAGUGAGCACUCAGGCAGCACCUGGAUCUGGCUGCUCACGACUCCUGCCACUAGCUCAACCAGGGCUGCUGGGGAACUGACCUAGUUCAGGGUUGGGGCAGGGAAAGUACAAAAGGAACCGCGAGUGUCUUGUGUCAAAAGCAAGGAGGGACUCCUGGGUGUCUGGGUAUUGACAGGAAGCACCCAGAGGAGAGGGGAAGAGAAGGCCUCCUCUGUAGGAGGAGCAGGGAGUAGGAUGGAGAGAAGGUUGUGGACGCUCUGGAAGCUGCAUUUAUUUCUUCCAGUUAGACAAAACAAGAAGGGCAGCCCAACUGCGGGGAGGCAAAGAAAGGUGUUACACAGGUCUAUCCACAGAAGACAAGAGUCUGCCACCUGGUUCCAGAGG